rnacentral:lncRNA from 1 species
AAGAGCUCCUACCUCCUCUGUUCUUUUAAUCUCCUGCUGCGGGUGGCAGACAUGGGAGAGACAGGCAAGCUGCAAAGGGAAGUCGACGAAAUAAAAUUAAAGCCCUACAAUCGUGUUCGUGUCAAUGUAGAUGGGGUGCCCCCCUCAGUUUGCUCACAGAGGUGGGUGUGAGAUCCUACAGGACGGUCUGGAAGACAUCCCAUGGAAGGCACUUUAUUUUGCCCAGAAGCUGGAGGAAAAGCAGAAGGAUGCUGAACACUGACUAAAAGGAGAGAGUGCACAUUACAUGGAGACCAUGGUCCCUGUACCAGAAACACUGAGAGUAGAGAGAAGCAAAGCCAGCAUCGUGGAACCAGUCCUUUUAUCCAGGGUCUUGGAGGGAUACAGUCUUCUGUAGAAAUUAAAUAAAGACUGAAUUCUUCAAUGGGUAUUUUGAGAAGAGAGCCACUGUAAGCUUAUAUACUGUGAAUUGCAAAAUGUUACUGCCUCUGGGUGGACAGGUUUUAAAAAGACAUUUUUUUUCCCCUCCUGGCAUGGCUGACAGAGGGAAGGCUGGGUUUCAAUCCCAUCUUUCCCUUCCCUUGCCCAGUGCUUCUUUGUGUGCACAACCUGCACAACUGUAUGUGGUUUGCAAACACGCAUAAGCAAAGACUAACAGCUUCUGAAACAAACUCUGAAUCAAAGAGGGAGCAUGUUAAUGCAGAUGGCAGAGGAGGUGAGCAGCAUGGGCAGAUAGAAGCAUCACAGAGACUGCAAGAAGAAUGUGCCAGACCAGCUCAUAGUGGCCACACUGAUUAAGAAUUAUCAUCAGCUCUUUAGGAUUUGGAA